UCCCGCUGCCCUCAAUCUGCGUGGAGGACGCAAGCAGCAAGCACACUCCGCGCCUGCCUCUGACUCGAUUGGCUCGGCUUAAACACCGGAUUCAAAUCUGUUUUGUUUUUCCUUAAAUGCAUUCGAGUUAAUUCUUUUGGGGGGUUUAAGCAUGUCUGCUGCGAUGAGUGUCGCGGAAAACCAGGCGAGCGACCCCAACAAACUGGAGUCAGUGAUACAGAGGCUGGAGGAGAGUGUUUUAUCUGAGGAGAAGAAGCUCACUGUCCGGGGCCACUCGCCGGAUGCCCCCCCUACAUGUCUACCGGCAAGAGUUCGUGAGAUUGUCACAAAGAACCUCAACGAAAACUCGACAGGGGCCAUGUCGUCAGUCAUGUCGCUCCAGGAGGAGAACCAGGUCCUGCAGGGAGAGCUGGCCAAACUGGAGGACCUGCUGGCACACAGCAGGGCGGACCGCGACGAGCUGGCCAUCAAGUACAGUGCAAUCAGCGAGAGGUUGGAGCAGAGGCUACGUUUCGAUUCGGGGGACGGCGACCGUGAUUCGCCAGAGUCUCGCAGCCUGACUCAGCAGAACGUGGAUCUGCGCAGGCGGCUGGAUGAAGAGCAGGCAGCCUACAAAAGAAAACUCACUGCGUAUCAGGAGGGGCAGCAGAGGCAGGCGCAGCUCGUACAGAAGUUGCAGGCUAAGGUGCUUCAGUACAAAAAGAGGUGUGGAGAUCUGGAGCAGAUGCUGCAGCAGAAGUCAGCAGAGUUUGAGAAACCCAGACUGAGUGAUUCCAGUGAAACGUCAAAUGGUCGCUGUCCGGAGGAAUCCAGCAGUAACCUGGAGGAUGCGUUAAUCCGUCUGGAAGAGGAACAACAGCGAAGCAGCAGUCUUUCUGCGGUGAACGCCAUGCUGAGGGAGCAGCUGGAGCAAGCCAGUUUAGCCAAUGAGGCUCUCAGCCAGGACAUCCGCAGGCUCACUACUGACUGGACCAAAGCCCGAGAAGAACUGGAACAAAAGGAGUCUGACUGGAGGAGAGAGGAAGAGUCUUUCCAUAGUUACUUUAGCAGCGAGCACAGCCGCCUGCUGACUCUGUGGCGCCAAGUGGUCGGGUUCCGCAGGCAUAUAUGUGAGCUGAAGAGUGCCACUGAAAGAGACUUGUCAGACAUGCGUAACGAGCUGGCUCAGGCGUCGCACUCUGCUCAGGUGUCCUGCACGGGUCUUUCUGCCACUCUGCAGUCCAGAGAGGGAGGAGCCGUGCUGGCCCUGGAGCGCGAGAAGGCUCUCAGGGUCCAACUGGAGAAGCAACUGAGGGAACGAGUGUCCGAGAUGAUGAACCUUCAGGCCAGGACGGACGCAGAGAGAAGCGAGCUCAACCUUAGGUUGUCGGACUCGGUGCGCGAGGGGGAAAGACUGAAGGGCAAAAUUGAGGAGAAAGAGAGAGAACUUAUUCUUCUGUCCAGGAGGCUUGAGGAGCAGAGCAGCAAUGACGGGAGUGACAUGCAGAUGAUGAGAGCUCACACUGAGACGCUAUUGGACACACUGCGGGACAUCGCUCAGACGGUGUUGACAGACGCGGAGUCGUUUUCGGAGGCAGAUCAGGACAACUCUGCUGCACCUCUGCUGGCCUUUAUCCACGGCUCCACCCCUGCCGCUCCUCCUCGCAGGUCAUCCUCCCCCUCAAAACUCACCUCGCCGUCUGCUCCACCAGAGGCGACCCUGUCGGCGCUACGCUCGGCAGUCACACACAAGACGCUGCAGCUGCAGGACGCUCGAGGGCGUUUGCUCUCUGCCCAGUCCUCUCUACAGCAGUUACGAAAGCAGCUAGCUGAGGCUGAUUCAGCCAAAAGAGAAGCGGAUCAACGUCAUCAAACGCUGCAGCGGGAGCGAGACGCUGCCCAGCGGGACAAAGAGACCUCGCAGCGAGAGAAGGACCGCUUCAGACAGGAGAGAGACACCCUGGCCAGUGAGAAAAUGAGCUUGGAGAAGAGCAUGAAGGCAGCUCAGAGCAGCAAUCAGACUCUGCAGAUGGAGUUUGAGAAGCUGCAGCUGGUUCUGACAUCCACGCAGCGGGAGAAAGACCACCAGAGGGAGGAGAAGGAGGCUGCCGUCCAGGAGAGGGACCGGGCCAAGGCUGAGAUUCAGAGGAUUCAGAAGCAGUGGGACCAGAGCGAAAGCCGAGCGUCUGCCCAACGUGGCGAGCUGUCUGCAGUGAGGGAGACUCACCAGCAGGCGGAAGUUGAGAGGCAGUUGCUAGAGAAGGAGAGAGCUCAACUUUCUGAAGCACUCACUCAGGCUGAGAGCAGCAAUGCAGAACUCUCUCUACUGAUCAAUAAACUUCAGUCUGAGGAUGCAGCGCUCGGGGACUCUUUGGCCAAAAUGGGCAACAUGAAUGAGGCGCUGUCCCAAGAUAAAACUGACCUUAACACCUACAUCCUUCAGCUGGAGGAGGAGAAGGCCCUGCUGCAAAUUCAGAAACGUGAGGCCGAGCAGGAGAAGCUGACCAUCAGAGACGAGCUGGUCCGGUUGGAGCAGGACCGAAUGGAGCUGGACUCGGCUCGCAUCACUCUGCGCCAGUCCCUGCAGGACACUGAGCUGACCCGUGUGGGGAUGGAGGCUGAGCUCCACAGUCUCAGGGCCGAGAGACUUAAGCUGCAAGAGAAAGUCACACAGCUCUGUGCUGAGGUGACUUCCUUGGGUUCUGAGCUAAGCCUCACCAGAGGAGAGGGCCAGCGGCACGAAGCGGCCUCGGAGGAGGCCGGCCGCGGCCGGGCAGAGCUGGCCAGAGACAAAGCAGCUCUUCUAGUCCAGCUGACGGCGUCCGAGAGAGAAAACAGCGCGCUGUCGGAGGAACUCUCCGCUUACAGGUCCGAGCGUGAGUCUCUAGAGACCACACUGUUUGAGGUGCAGCAUCAGCUUGCUCAGCUGGAGUCUCGCAGGGAGCAGCUCGCAGCAGACAACCAAAAUCUUCGAGUGCGCACAGACACAGCAACAGCUGAGCUGCGGCGUGCUCGCUCUGAGGCAGAGAGCGCACUGGACCAGGCCGAGAAGGAGAAACACGCUGUGACUCACACCCUGAAUGCGGCACAUCUGGAGGCCCAGCAAGCUUUGCGCAAGGCCACCUGCGAACAUCAGGAAGAAGUGGAGAAACUUGUCACAGAAAAGGAAAACCUGCGACAAAGCCUCACGGUGGCUCAUGACAGCACUCUGAGGAAGCUGAGGCAGCAGGUGGAGGAAGAGCUUCACAAAGCACAGCGAGAGAAAGAGGAGCUGCAGAGUGAUCUGAGGACUCUCCUGCACGAUCGGGAUCAGAGUCUACUCCAGGCGGAAACUGAGAAACAACAGGCUCUGUCGCUAAAGGAGGCUGAGAAAGCGGCGCUAUGUGACCGAGUGUCCAGUCUGCAGGCCGAGCUGUCAGCCUUGACCCUCGAGGCCGAGCGUAAGGCCCGAGCAGCGGCCCUCUUCAAAGAGCAGGAACAGGCCAGAGUUGGUGCUCUCACCAGUGAGCUGCAGGAGCUUCGGUCACAGCUCGAGGACGCUUCCGCUCUUCACGAAAGGGACCUUCAAAGUCUGCGGGAGACUCUGCGCGACUUUCAGUCACGUGCCGAUGGUGCCGUCAAAGAGCUCGACAAUUGCAGAGCUUCUCUUGCCGUCAGCGAGGAGAGUCGAGAUGAGCUCCGGCGAAACGCCAUGGAGGCAGAGCGUCGUCUCAACCAAGCGCAUGACGAGGCGGAAAACUACAGAAGGGAAGGCACGGAACUGCGCCGCAGCCUGAGCGACAUCUCCAAGGAGAGAGACACCUUCAGCCAGUCUAACUCCCAGCUGAGGGAAACCCUACGAGGGGCUGAGACCGAGAGAAUCAGUGUGAAGCGACAGUGCGAGGAGAAGGAGCAGAGACUGGUCGUGCUACAGGAGAAUCUUUCAUCCACUCAGAAGGAGGUGACGGAGCUGCGCAGCUGUCUUAGGGAAGUUGAACGGUCACGACUGGAGGCGCGACGGGAGCUUCAGGAGCUGCGCAGACAGCUGAAGGUCUUGGAUGGAGAGAAGGAGCAGAAAGGUAGGGAGGUAGCAGAGCUGCAAACUCGCUUGUCCCUGGAAGAGCAGCGAGAGGAGGAAAGAGGCAAGGAGGUUUUUGCCCUCAAGCACAAGUUAUCUGAAGCCGAAGCUGCUCGAGACUCCCUGAAGAGAGAGUUCACUCAAGUUCAGAAGCAGCUGGCCGAGUCCGAGUCCGGCUGGCGGCUUUGCGAGAGAGAACUGACCGCUCAGCUUCAGGAAGCCCGAGGGUGCGAGAAGAAGCUGCAGGACGAAGCCAAGAACCUGACGCUGCGCACGCAGGCGGCCCAGGACUCGGCCAGCGUGUACAGCCUGCAGCUGAGCGAGGCCCAGGGCCGCCUGGCCGCCACUGAGGCGGAGCUAACCCGGGCCGAGGCCUCCAGGAGGGACCUGGAGUUUCGUCUGAGCGGCCUACAGUCGGCGCUGACCAGAACGCUGGGAAUCGCCGCUGGAGGAAGAGGGGUCAGAGGGAGGAGCCCCGGAGGCAGCUCUGCGUCACCCAGCUCCAUGUCACGCCAUCACAGCAUCUCGCCGCUACGCUCCUCUCUCUCGCCACCUAAAGAAUUUCAGACGAGCACCCCUGACAACACUCUGGGCUCUAGAGCCGUUUCUCCUGAAAGGGCGGGGACGCCUCUCCCACUCUCCCAGUCAGAGCUGGACACUGACACACUGCGAAGUGGUCUGAAGGAAUUCCUCCUGGAGCUCCGUGAAGCACACAGAGAGCGGGAUGACGCUCUGUGUCAGUUGGGGGCCUUUCAGCGGGAGGUGGACGACCUGAGGGGGGAUCGAGACUCUGCUCAGAGUCGUCUCGCUCAGCUGCAAAAGAACCUACAAGAAUACCAAGAAGGCAAGCGAGGCCUGGACGAGCGUCUGACGCAUGCUCAGCUUCAGCUCCAUCAACAGGAGGAGGCGGUGAGGAGAGGCGACAGAGAGAGGAGGACGCUCAACGACAGGGUGAAGGAGCUGGAGCGUGGACUGCAGGCCUGUGAGGCGGAGAAGAAACACACACAGGAACAAUUAGAUAAGCAGCGAGCUGCAGAGGUGCGUCUGGAGGCCGAGAGGAGGCGCCUGCGAGAGGCGCUGGAGACGUCUGAAGCGCGAGCCACCCGGGUUGAGGUGGGACGGCGGAGUCUGGAGGGCGAGCUGCAGAGACUCAGACUGAGCCUGGGAGACCGAGAGGCCGAGAGCCAGGCCUCCCAUUCUCGCCAUGACGCUCUGCUCAAACAGGUAGCAGAGGGAGAAGGCCGAGUGUCCCUGUUUCAGACGGAAGUGGAGCGGCUGAGUCAAUCUCUGCUCAAAGCCGAGGAAAACGAAGCUCUGCUGCGAGAGAAGAACGCCUCCCUCAACCAGAGUCUGCAGGAGUUGGCGGCUGCUCACGGCAGCGCUCAGAGUCGCCUGACUGCUGUGCAGAAGGCUUUGAGUAUGACCGAGCAGGAGAAACAACACCUCCAGGAGCGAAUCGAGGAAUCUCGGUCAUCGUUAAGCGAAGCCAGGCGGAACAUGGCCGCCCUUAAUGAGCGCAUGCACAGCGUGCAGAGUGAGCUCCACCAGAGCGAGCUGCAACGAGAAGAGCUGGAGGCUGAGUUCACCAAAACCCAGGAGUUCGGUAACUUCUCAGAUGUUGUCUACCGGCGGUGUGUUGUCGUUCAUUAUGCGGCAGGCUCUGCGUCAGCGUUCAGCCGGCCUUGCCGAAGCCCAGCGCGGCGCCCAUGCGGCUCAGACGGAACGGGCCGUGGUGGAGGAGCGCCUGCGGGCUCUGCAGAGGGCCGUGGCCAUGCUGGAAACGGAGAAGAAAGACGCCGAGAGGCAGGCAGUGAGGCUGGAGAAAGAUAAAAAUGCCCUGAGGAAUACGCUUGAUAAGGUAUCCAAUCCAAUCCAAUCCAAACUCAACUAAAACUAAAAAAAUAUACACCUUUUGCAAAAAAGCGAUUCUCACACUGCUGUAGCAUCAGUUACUUUAACAUUUUCCAAUUGCAAUUUUUUUGUACAGCUGGCCAUCCAUCCAUUUUCUGAGCCGCUUCUCCUCACGAGGGUUGCGGGCGUGCUGGAGCCUAUCCCAGCUAUCAUCGGGCUGGAGGCGGGGUACACCCUGAACUGGUUGCCAGCCAGUCGCAGGGCACAUACAAACAAAACAACCAUUCGCACUCACAUUCACACCUACGGGCAAUUUAGAGUUGUCAAUUAACCUACCAUGCAUGUAUUUGGGAUAUGGGAGGAAACCGGAGUGCCCGGAGAAAACCCACGCAGGCGCGGGGAGAACAUGCAAACUCCACACAGGCGGGGCCGGGGAUUGAACCCCGGUCCUCAGACGCUCUAACCAGUCGUCCGCCGUGCCGCUACAGCUGUCCAAUCAAGCGAUUUUGGUUAUUAUAUGAGAAGUGCGAAAUGAAAUGCAUCUCUCCUUAGGUCGAGCGCCAGAAGCUGAAGAGCGAAGAGGGCAGCAUGCGUCUUUCGGCCGAGAGAAACCGCUUGGAUCGCUCCCUGAACACGACUGAACAGGAGCUGCAGGAAGCCCAGCAGCAGAUUCUCAUGCUGCAGACGCAGAUGGCUGACAU